UAGGGAAUCUUCGGCAAUGGACGGAAGUCUGACCGAGCAACGCCGCGUGAGUGAAGAAGGUUUUCGGAUCGUAAAGCUCUGUUGUAAGAGAAGAACGAGUGUGAGAGUGGAAAGUUCACACUGUGACGGUAUCUUACCAGAAAGGGACGGCUAACUACGUGCCAGCAGCCGCGGUAAUACGUAGGUCCCGAGCGUUGUCCGGAUUUAUUGGGCGUAAAGCGAGCGCAGGCGGUUAGAUAAGUCUGAAGUUAAAGGCUGUGGCUUAACCAUAGUAGGCUUUGGAAACUGUUUAACUUGAGUGCAAGAGGGGAGAGUGGAAUUCCAUGUGUAGCGGCGAAAUGCGUAGAUAUAUGGAGGAACACCGGUGGCGAAAGCGGCUCUCUGGCUUGUAACUGACGCUGAGGCUCGAAAGCGUGGGGAGCAAACAGGAUUAGAUACCCUGGUAGUCCACGCUGUAAACGAUGAGUGCUAGGUGUUAGACCCUUUCCGGGGUUUAGUGCCGUAGCUAACGCAUUAAGCACUCCGCCUGGGGAGUACGACCGCAAGGUUG
rnacentral:rRNA from 1 species